GUUUUUAAAGAAGAGUAGAGGGUCUGCUUGGCAAAUGAGGAGGCUGCCAACACAAGUCUUUUGGAGAAUGGAGUGUUUACUUUUAUUUUAGAUCAGACAAGGGAAAGAAGAGUGAAAGAUCUACUUCAGUAAAAUAUUCAAGAAGUGUUUUGUGAAUGCACGAAAUGGAUCCCUGUGGAGAUGGAGAAUGAGAUGAAGAGAAAUCAGAAAGACUGAUUAUGCUGAAACCAGUGCUACAAAAGAGGAUGCUUGAAAGGACAAGUGGAAACCUGGUACAUAGCCCUUACCAUGAUCCAGCACAGGACUAAAACAUACGAGAAGAUGGAUUUAUUAUGUGAAUCUUGGGUGGUUAAUGUUCAUCCUCUCCCUUCAUAAUCAAGGCUUCAUGCAGUUCUCAUUCUUAUAUAACCUUCUUGGCUGGGAUUUUGACAAUUUUAAUCCUGUGCUGCAAAGAAUUCUUAGAACAUCAUAACCCUCCUGCAGUGCUAAGGACACUGCAAGCAUAUGGAAGCCAAAUACAAAUCGAGGAUGCACUUUGAUUCAUAUGUAUCUUUUCUGGUAAGUCAUACAACUUAUCUGAUCUACUGUUACCGGAUCAGCAGUGUUAGACACAACAGUCUGCCAUUUUCACUAUCAGUUUUGCAGUAUUUCACCUGGUGUCUCUCAUUACCAAUUUUCUUUGUGGGUAGAAAUUUCUCAAAGACAGCUGGGGUUGAAAGAUGCUAACUUUCCUCUCUUAAAGGCCCUCUUAAAACUUGAUUUAAAGCCUGAAAUCUCAAGAGACUUCUGUUGAAUAGGAAGAAAUUUACAGAGAUAUAUAGAGCCUUCAGU